CCCCGAUACCCAGAUCGUCUGCCACUAGCACCACAAUGUUGGGAAGGCUCUGACGGCGAGUCUGUUGCUCCUGUUUCUCCUGUUGUUGCUGCUCUUUUACAGGUUCUUCCUGUUGCUGAUAGUACUGCAGUAGUAGUCCAAAGCCACCAGAGGCUAUCACGCCAACCACCACCACCACAGCCCACCACCUGACAUUCACCUCUACCAUUUUGCUGUGACGGCAGAUAAUAUACCUGACUUACCAGGGGACAACAAACUUUAAUGGCCUCGACGAGGACAGGACGCCGGCGGUUUGUCGAAGGUCCCUCCACUUGAGUCUUGUAUCUUGGAUCCAACAGGCAAGAUGAUCCCCCUCCACUUGGAUCUCUUCCAGCUUUUCAGGCAAAAGCGUUCCCAAAACCUCUUUCAAAACCUGCUAGAGGAUGAUCAAGUGAAGUGUAGGACUGGUAAUAUAAGCAGUCGAUAGCGAAUCAUCAAUCUAACUCCAAGAGUGGUUCAGUACAAAUGUUUGCGAGAUUUCGCACAUCUUCAACACUGUUGAUAUUCAGCGUGCACCCGAAUCACCAACCUGCCGUCACACCAUUGCUUGCUGCAAGCAAUGGUCACACCACACCACCUGCAAACUCCUGUAGACUAUAUUCAUCCAAUUAUAUAUAUUUUAUUAUUAUCUGUGUUUAUUGUCACAACUGACAUAACAAUAAAACAUUACAAGUGUUUACCUCAAAUAAACCAUUAAAUUUUACCAAUCUUCUGUAUGGUAUGUUCUAGUAGCUUUAAUAAAUUACACCUUUGUGUUCUGUUUCCAUUUUUAAUGAUAAAAACUACUGUGAUAUUGCUAGAAUUACAGAUUCCAUAAUGUAACAGUCUUGCCUGUCAUCACGAGAUAUCGCCUGUAUAAUAUACAGUAUAUCACUUAUUAUAUUUCUUGAACAUUCUAACUUAAGUUAGCUUACGUCUCUUUUAGUAUUAAGUGUUUACCCCUUUACACUCUUAAAAUAGGUUUUUAUCUACUGUAAAUUAUUCUAAGUUUUCCCUGAAAUGUUUUUUGUAUAAGUGACUUUAUUUGUAUGAGUAACACCUGUUUCGACAAUUGUUCCUUCCUUUUAUAUUCUUUGGACUAACAUUCUUAUGAAUAAAAAUUAUUAAUACUAUUACUUGCUAUUGAUAUAAAGAACUUCUACAUACACCGUUUUAAGGAAUUUUGGGGGACAUUGAAAUGCAUAUUUUGCAUAACAGAGAAGCUGUUAGGUGGUGUUGCAUUCCAUUUAUGAUACCUAAUCACAACCCCAGUAUACAGCAUUCACUAUUUGCCUUUACUUCCUCAAACAUUCUUGUGAAUACACACACACACAGGAGAGCAAAAUUACUAAAUCACGGAGAGAUAGAUUGGGAAUCAAGAAACCCCAGGCUGUCGUGUGGAAGAAACAUGGGGUGCAUAAUUAGUGGAAGUUAUAGUAAGGAACUUCUUAACAAAAAAGAUUAGAUCUUUGUGUUUAGAUAGGAGAUGCCUCGUAUGGGCCAAUAAGCCUUCUGCAGUUAUCUCUAUGUUUCACCUCACAUUUAUCCCUUAUGUAUCCCCCCAUGUUUUCUCCUUUAU